GGGGAUGUAGCUCAAUGGUAGAGCGCAUGCUUUCCAUGUAUAAGGUUUCGGGUUCAAUCCCCAGCAUCUCCA
rnacentral:tRNA from 1 species